rnacentral:lncRNA from 1 species
UGAGAGCCAGUGGCUUGGUGGUUAAGAGCAUUUGCUGCUCUUGCAGAGGAUCAGAGCUUAUAUCUCAACACCCAUAUUAACCAACUCGUAACUAUCUGUAACUCCAGCUCUAGGGGAUCAUGUUGCCUUUGGCCUCUGAGGUCACCUCCACUCACACAAAUACAGACACGCACAGAUACACAUGCCCAAAUAUAACUAAAAAUAAAAUAAAUAUAAAAUUUAAAACGUCUUGCUUAUGCAAAACUUCAAAAGCACCGAAUCAUGUCGUUGACAUAAAUCGUGUCCUUUCACGUGAGUUUGUAUGUUAUCACGUGUCCUUACAUCUAUAUGUGCAAUUUACAUAUUUUUUACUGCUACUGAAUGAUUUAUAUAAACAAAGGUUCCAGCAUAAACUGGGUUGUCUCUUAAGCUGGUUGGGAACCUUUGUAAUUUGGGAUAUGUUUUUCUAUGAAGAUUCUGUUGCCCUGGACAGUGGUGAUUUUUCGCAGCAUAGGCAGCUACCACUAAUGUAGGUCAGAUCUUUUUCACUUCCAUUUGACGGGCUCGUCUCACAUGUUUUUAGCUUUAAUGUUGAUUUUUUUUCUGCCAAUUAUUUCGAUCACAUCACUGUGUGAUGAAAGUUUAUGGUGCCACUGGAAGUGUAAACCAUUAUUUUUAAACAUUUUUUUAUAGAAAGGAUAACUUGAAAACUGCAACACCAAAACAGAUUUCUAUUUAAGAAUUAUAAGGAAAUAAAUUAUUUUCUUUUUGAUCUUAAUUUCUAUUUUCACAGCACAAGGUGAGAAAUUCAGAUAACUACUUGAGUGAUAUGUUUGA